rnacentral:rRNA from 1 species
UCCUACGGGAGGCAGCAGUAGGGAAUCUUCCGCAAUGGACGAAAGUCUGACGGAGCAACGCCGCGUGAACGAUGAAGGCCUUCGGGUCGUAAAGUUCUGUUGUUAGGGAAGAACAAGUACCGUUCGAAUAGGGCGGUACCUUGACGGUACCUAACCAGAAAGCCACGGCUAACUACGUGCCAGCAGCCGCGGUAAUACGUAGGUGGCAAGCGUUGUCCGGAAUUAUUGGGCGUAAAGCGCGCGCAGGCGGUUUCUUAAGUCUGAUGUGAAAGCCCACGGCUCAACCGUGGAGGGUCAUUGGAAACUGGGAAACUUGAGUACAGAAGAGGAGAGUGGAAUUCCACGUGUAGCGGUGAAAUGCGUAGAUAUGUGGAGGAACACCAGUGGCGAAGGCGACUCUCUGGUCUGUCACUGACGCUGAGGCGCGAAAGCGUGGGGAGCAAACAGGAUUAGAUACCCUGGUAGUCCACGCCGUAAACGAUGAGUGCUAGGUGUUAGGGGUUUCGAUGCCCUUAGUGCCGAAGUUAACACAGUAAGCACUCCGCCUGGGGAGUACGACCGCAAGGUUGAAACUCAAAGGAAUUGACGGA